CCUACGGGGGGCAGCAGUGGGGAAUAUUGCACAAUGGGCGCAAGCCUGAUGCAGCCAUGCCGCGUGUGUGAAGAAGGCCUUCGGGUUGUAAAGCACUUUCAGCGGGGAGGAAGGCGUUAAGGUUAAUAACCUUGGCGAUUGACGUUACCCGCAGAAGAAGCACCGGCUAACUCCGUGCCAGCAGCCGCGGUAAUACGGAGGGUGCAAGCGUUAAUCGGAAUUACUGGGCGUAAAGCGCGCGCAGGCGGUCUGUCAAGUCGGAUGUGAAAUCCCCGGGCUCAACCUGGGAACUGCAUUCGAAACUGGCAGGCUAGAGUCUUGUAGAGGGGGGUAGGAUUCCAGGUGUAGCGGUGAAAUGCGUAGAGAUCUGGAGGAAUACCGGUGGCGAAGGCGGCCCCCUGGACAAAGACUGACGCUCAGGUGCGAAAGCGUGGGGAGCAAACAGGAUUAGAUACCCGUGUAGUC
rnacentral:rRNA from 1 species